UUAUAAGCAAAAGUUUACAUUUUAGAUUCAUUCAUUAAAUGAUGUAUGUGGUCUAUAAUAAAGACUACAUACAUCAUUUAAUGAAUUAAUCUAAAAUGCAAAGUUUUGCUUAUAA
rfam:Medicago truncatula strain A17 chromosome 5, whole genome shotgun sequence.